CUCCGUGCAUGUACAGUAUAUAUACACUUUACUCUGAUAAACCCUUCAGAGCGUAACGAUGGUGAAGAAAGUAAUUCUGGUGAUUCUGUUGGUGGUACUCACCGUGGCUUUGCAAGUAGAAUCAAAGCCUGCCCAGCUCCUGCCUCCGCUUCUCCCCCCUAUUCCCGAUUCUGUUCCCUUCCCCGCCCCCCCGGACAAAGGGCCGGUAUACGUUUGAACCUUCUCCACGGAUCGACGAUGUAGGCCCACUUUACCCAGUUAUCACAUAAGUCCAAGUUCCAUAUAUAUGGCAUUAAGGAUCUUCGAAUAGUUCCAUAUAUGUAUGUACACAUAAUCUGAAUUAAUAAAGAGACAGGAUUUAAA